GAAAAUAUGGCACAUUACUGACCUUGCCCUUUGUUAGUUUCUAUUUUUUCUUAUAUUGGAUUCUUGACUCUAAGGUUUGUUUUGUUUUAAUUUUUAAAAUGUUCUUUAUCUAUCUUCCCCAAACGUAAGCAGAAAUACCUCCCCUAGUUAAUUUAACAGAAGGAAUUUAAUAUAAAGAACUGGUUAAAUAAGUGUAGGAAAACCAAAAAGUCAAUAAGAGAGUCCUGAGGUAGGACAGAGAUAAUGGUGGCAGCAGGCAGUUGAACCUCUAAGUGUCGUGAAUGUAAGGGAAAAUGUUGCUCUUUCAAGAACCUCAGACGUGCGAAGGGCUUCCUGCAGGGUUGAGGUCCGGGUCUCUGGGAACAGAGGGCUGCCCAUACGGAACUUGAGAGGGUGCGUGGUAAGGAAGGUUCUGUGUUUCUCUCCCACUUAGACGCUGGAGCUGAAUGCUCUGCUGGGAGGAAGCACUCAUUCUCUGGCAAUGCUGACGGGAGUGGAAAACAAGCAGGAAAGCACAGCCGCCGCCUUCAUCUUGCCUUCCCAUCGCUCACUGGCAGAUUUCGAAUAUGGAAACGGAGCAGACAGAGUCUUAGGAGGGAACAGGGGCUCUUGAACUCUCUGGCUGCUGUUGGAUCCUAUGCCCUCAACAGUAUUGACAUGGCUCGAUGAGCAGUGCUAGGUCCAUGCUCAAGAUCUGAACCUGUGAACCCCAGGCCACCAAAGCAGACUGCACGGACUUAACCAGCACGCCACUGGGCCAGCCCCUAGAGAUUUAUUUUUAAGGACAGGUUUUCAAUUAUAUUUUUUUAAAAUUUUUAUUCUGUUGUGGUUAGAAUACAACAUAGAUCUACU
rnacentral:lncRNA from 1 species